rnacentral:rRNA from 1 species
AUUGAACGCUGGCGGCAGGCCUAACACAUGCAAGUCGAACGAGUGGGGACGGGUGAGUAACACGUGGGUAACCUCCCAUCAGAGGGGAUAACACUUGGAAACAGGUGCUAAACCGAUACUGAUGGAUGGACCCGCGGUGCAUUAGCUAGUUGGUGGGGUAACGGCUCACCAAGGCCACGAUGCAUAGCCGACCUGUGAGGGGGAUCGGCCACACUGGAACUGAGACACGGCCCAGACUCCUACGGGAGGCAGCAGUAGGGAAUAUUCGGCAAUGGACGAAAGUCUGACCGAGCAACGCCGCGUGAGUGAAGAAGGUUUUCGGAUCGUAAAACUCUGUUGUUAGAGAAGCGGUAUCUAACCAGAAAGCCACGGCUAACUACGUGCCAGCAGCCGCGGUAAUUC